AACGAACGCUGGCGGCAGGCCUAACACAUGCAGGUCGAGCGAACAGAUGGAGUGCUUGCACUUCUGACGUUAGCGGCGAACGGGUGAGUAACACGUAAGGAAUCUACCUAUAAGCGGGGGAUAACAUUCGGAAACGGGUGCUAAUACCGCAUAAUAUCUUCUUCCGCAUGGAAGAAGAUUGAAAGACGGCUCUGCUGUCACUUAUAGAUGACCUUGCGGUGCAUUAGUUAGUUGGUGGUGUAACGGCCUACCAAGACGAUGAUGCAUAGCCGACCAGAGAGGGUGAUCGGCCACAUUGGGACUGAGACACGGCCCAAACUCCUACGGGAGGCAGCAGUAGGGAAUCUUCCGCAAUGGGCGAAAGCCUGACGGAGCAAUGCCGCGUGAGUGAAGAAGGCCUUCGGGUCGUAAAACUCUGUUAUAAGAGAAGAACAAAUUGUAGAGUAACUGCUACAGUCUUGACGGUAUCUUAUCAGAAAGCCACGGCUAACUACGUGCCAGCAGCCGCCGUAA
rnacentral:rRNA from 1 species